GACGGAGGGUGCAAACGUUGUUCGGAAUCACUGGGCAUAAAGAGCACGUAGGCUGCGCGCUAAGUCAGGUGUGAAAUCCCCCGGCUCAACCGGGGAACUGCUCCUGAUACUGGCGUGCUCGAGGACGGUAGGGGUGAGUGGAACUCCAGGUGGAGCGGUGAAAUGCGUAGAUAUCCGGAGGAACACCGGUGGCGAAAGCGGCUCACUGGACCGUCUCUGACGCUGAGGUGCGAAAGCUAGGGUAGCAAACGGG
rnacentral:rRNA from 1 species